AGCUUUGUGCACUGGCAAUAUUGUAGCCAAUGAGGUUUAUUUGAGGUGCAAUUAUUGCUAAUUGGAUAUUAACUCCUACAUAAC
rnacentral:snRNA from 1 species